UCAUAUUGAAUUUAAGACACUGUGAUAACAGAUUUUUUUGAAGCAAAAUCCUGUUUUAAGUCUUUGGGUGUAGUACCUUUGCUGACCACUCUCGCGUUUGUAUCUCCCACAUUAUUCCCCACCUCAUUCCCAUUAUGAAACAGUUCACGGUUUGGAGAGCUUGGCCCCACCUCUGGCUCCGAGAUCAAUUCUGAUUGGGUGAAACUAAUCUGAGUAAUCCCCUUCUUCACAGGGGUUUGUCAGAUAACUCAGGCCUGAGCCAAUCACCGUUCUCUGGGACACAGAUUGGACUCUAGGUUAUUUUGUAAGUGUCAUACUCCAGAUUUAUCUGGGAGCAGGAACUCCUUUGGACCUUAAGGAGGAAGCAUGUAGCCGCUGUUAGCUGCUGGCAGCUAUCUUGUGUUCUUGAAGGAAGCUGGCCUGAGGAGGACUCCUCAUACAGAGAGAAACACUGAGAGAUUCACUGAAAAACUGACACGGGAUCCUGAGGGGCCACUCUUGAAGACUUAUCUCUGCACCUUUCUGGGCACUCUGCAUACAGCAAUGGUCAGCAUGGUUCCAGUACUCAGAGAGCUCCAAGGAUUAGUUGAGACCAGAUAAGAAUAUCAAGGAGGCAAGCAGAAGUUACAAUGGGAAAUCAGAAAGAAGACAAAGGAGGGACACCUAAUUCAGAAUGAUGGGUUGCUGGAUAGGAGAGAAAAGGAGACGAAUGGGCAGGUAUCAUUAAAUAUUCCUAUGAAGAAGUUCCUAACUUCUGUUUUUGUGCCAUUGACGCUUUGGCAGUGUGGAGAAACCUAGGGACCCAUUUUCAGAGCAGUGUUUUUAAAUGUGUAAAAUAUUUUAGAUUACAAGGAAAUUUUGAGUAUUGAAAUAGCCAACAAAAUAUGUUAAAAGCAAAUUCGUAAUACAGUAGUAUAUAUGCUUCUUCAUUAACUCAUUAAAGAACAAGACAUAGCAA